UACGGAAGGUCCGGGCGUUAUCCGGAUUUAUUGGGUUUAAAGGGAGCGUAGGCCGCUUUGUAAGCGUGUUGUGAAAUUUGCCGGCUCAACCGGUAACUUGCAGCGCGAACUGCAGAGCUUGAGUGUGCGCAACGUUGGCGGAAUUCGCCGUGUAGCGGUGAAAUGCUUAGAUAUGACGAAGAACUCCGAUUGCGAAGGCAGCUGACGGGAGCACUACUGACGCUGAAGCUCGAAAGUGCGGGUAUCGAACAGGAUUAGAUACCCUGGUAGUCCGCACGGUAAACGAUGGAUGCCCGCUGUUUGCACAUAGUUGCAAGCGGCCAAGCGAAAGCGUUAAGCAUCCCACCUGGGGAGUACGCCGGCAACGGUGAA
rnacentral:rRNA from 1 species